rnacentral:lncRNA from 1 species
CUGGGACCGAGGAAGAGGGAGCGCAGCUCGGUGCGGGGAGGGAACCGGGGGAGCGGAGGGGACGGCAGCACCCCGAGGGAUCCGGAUCGUAGCCCCGCACACCGGCACCCCCCUCGCCGCACCGCAACAUCGAUGCCAUUGGGGAGGCUUCGCCAUCGGACACCCUCCUUGCCCCUCCCGGGACGGGGUCCUGUCCCGCAGCACCGGGACCGCCUUCCACCAGCAGCGGGGUGACGGCACUGCGAGACGCCCGUGGGAUUUCCAUGCCCUGUGCCGGGCUGGACGCGAGGCCGAGCUCCUCUUUGGGAUGUAGCAUCUGAAUUUCUGCCAUCAGCAACCUUUCGUAGCAAUAGUUUCCUGUAAAACUCUGUGCUGUAGAGUUGGCGCUUGCACCGCUCUGAGCAGAAGAGAAGGGGACCUCAACGUGACCGCCAUCCACGGGGCCACCUCCUCCUGACCUGCAGCCUUCACAUCCCACGAGAGCAGGAUGAAGGCUGGGACCCCCCACCCCCGUGCCUAACAUCCCACCAGCAGCCCCACAACGGCCUCAGAAACCAGGGUGCUCUGUCUGGAGGAGAGAGGAUAACUCGCCGUGCGCAGCGUGGUCCUUCUUUUCCUGUUUUAGAGAAGCAGCUCUGCCCCACUGGGGUGCCUUUGUGCUGCUCACAAGAGCCAUUGUGUGCAGCGCGAAGGUAACAUUGCAUCUCGGGAAUUAAACAUGAAGCAUCAUUAAAGCACAACGUUCUGUGGAGAGAAAAAAUCGGUCUGAGCAGGAUGUUGAGAAAGGCAAGGAAUUGUCCCAUAGGAAAACACAGCCCCACAAAAGGUGGUGUUUGUCACAAACUGCCACCAGUUUUUAAUCUGUCCCGUAAAUUACUUGCUUCAAAUGUGCAGAGAUAUCUCUCUCCAGACAGCCCAAGGCAAGGGGAAAGUUGUUUACGUGUGGUUCAAUUGCUGGGGCCAGAUCUUGUUCCAGGGCUCCCAUAGCAUCCUUAGGUGAUCCCACCCCUCCCAUGGCUGGGGACAGCCCGCAGCCCGUGCCACCAUCCCCAUCCUGCACAACAGUGUCCAUUCCUCUCAGUGCUGUGAAGGACCACACGUCCCUCUGCCCAUCCCUGUGUCACCUGCCUGUGCUCUGUGUUUAGUAUUGGGUCCUGGAAUCCUCAAAUGGCCUCGCACAGGCUGCUGGCAGGCUGCAUCUGCUGAACACCUGCAUUAUGCGGGCGCAAGAAAUUCUCCUUUGUGUUAGAGUGCGGGGCUGUUGGAGGGCUGUUAAUGGAAGGAGGCUGUCAUUGCUGUGCCAGCACAUUGCUCUGCUGUCCCUUGAGGAGGGCCUGGAGAACUGGGGGAAAAUCCUCUGGAUUGAAAUAUAAAUAUUUAAGGCGAAUGAAGUGCGUUGAG